rnacentral:rRNA from 1 species
CCUACGGGUGGCAGCAGUCAGGAAUCUUUGUCAAUGGGCGAGAGGCUGAACCAGCCAAGUCGCGUGGGGGAAGAAUGUCCUAUGGAUUGUAAACCUCUUUUGUCAGGGAGCAAAGUCACCCACGUGUGCGUGUUGGAGAAUACCUGACGAAAAAGCUUCGGCUAACUCCGUGCCAGCAGCCGCGGUAAUACGGAGGAUUCGAGCUUUGUCCGGAUUUAUUGGGUUGAAAGGUAGCGUAGAUGGGUUGUUAAGUCAGUUGUGAAAGUGUGCGGCUCAACCGUAAAAUUGCAAUUGAUACUGGCAGACUUGAGUACAGGUGAGGUAGGCGGAAUUCGUGGGGUAGCGGUGAAAUGCUUAGAUAUCACGAAGAACUCCGAUUGCGAAGGCAGCCUACUAGACGGCCACUGACAUUGAUGCUCGAAAGUGUGGGUAUCAAACAGGAUUAGAUACCCGAGUAGUC